rnacentral:rRNA from 1 species
CAGUAGCCGCGGGAAUACGUAGGGUGCGAGCGUUAAUCGGAAUUACUGGGCGUAAAGCGUGCGCAGGCGGUUGUGUAAGACAGGUGUGAAAUCCCCGGGCUUAACCUGGGAACUGCGCUUGUGACUGCACAGCUAGAGUAUGGCAGAGGGGGGUGGAAUUCCACGUGUAGCAGUGAAAUGCGUAGAGAUGUGGAGGAACACCGAUGGCGAAGGCAGCCCCCUGGGCCAAUACUGACGCUCAUGCACGAAAGCGUGGGGAGCAAACAGGAUUAGAUACCCGUGUAUCCAUGUCUCUUAUACA